CUGGUUGAUCCUGCCAGUAGUCAUAUGCUUGUCUUAAAGACUAAGCCAUGCAUGUCUAAGUAUAAGCACUUGUACUGUAAAACUGCGAAUGGCUCAUUAAAUCAGUUAUAAUUUAUUUGAUGGUAAAUACCACUUGGAUAACCGUGGUAAAACUAGAGCUAAUACAUGCGUAAAAACCUAACUAGAAAUGGAAAGGUUGUAUUUAUUAGAUACAAAACCAAUAAAGUAAAGGGGUUAAACUUUUUAUUUUUUUAUUGGUGAUUCAUAGUAAUUAGACUAAUCGUAUAAUCUUGUAUUGACGAUAGUUCAUUCAAAUAUCUGCCCUAUCAACUUUCGAUGGUAGUAUAGAGGACUACCAUGGUGGUAACGGGUAACGGAGAAUCAAGGUUUGAUUCCAGAGAAGGAGCCUGAGAAACGGCUACUACUUCCAAGGAAGGCAGCAGGCGCGCAAAUUACCCAAUCCCAAAACGGGGAGGUAGUGACAAUAAAUAACAAUAUUGGAUUUUAUAAAAAAAUCUAAUAAUUGGAAUGAGUACAAUCUAAACCCCUUAACGAGUAUCAAUUGGAGGGCAAGUCUGGUGCCAGCAGCCGCGGUAAUUCCAGCUCCAAUAGCAUAUAUUAAAGUUGUUGCAGUUAAAAAGCUCGUAGUUGGAUUUAAAAUAGAGAGAAAAAGUAUUAUAUGAAAGUAUAAUUAUUUUUUAUCUUUAUUUCAAUAUACUAAUAAUUCAUUAUUAUUUUUAAUUAAAUAGUAAUUAUUAAUUCUUUACGGGAUUAAUUUAUUUUAAGAAUGUAUUUAUUAAAAUGUGGAUAUUUAUACGAAGCAAUUUGUAUAAAUAUACUGUUUAAUAAAUCUUUUUAAAAUAGAAUUUUAGUACAUUUACUUUGAGUAAAUUAGAGUGUUCAAAGCAAACUUACAAAUUGUAAUGAAUACUAUUAGCAUGGGAUAAUGGAACAAGAUAUUAAUCUUUUAUUUUUUCAUUGGUUUCUAAGAUUAAUUUAAUGAUUAAAAGGGAUAGUUGGGGGCAUUAGUAUUUAAUUGUCAGAGGUGAAAUUCUUGGAUUUAUGAAAGACUAACUUCUGCGAAAGCAUUUGUCAAAGAUGUUUUCAUUAAUCAAGAACGAAAGUUAGGGGAUCGAAGACGAUCAGAUACCGUCGUAGUCUUAACUAUAAACUAUGCCGACCAAGGAUUGAAAGUUGAUAAUAAUUUAAAAAAUUAAAUCUUUUCAGAACUUUAUAAGAAAUUAAAAGUUUUUGGGUUCUGGGGGGAGUAUGGUCGCAAGGCUGAAACUUAAAGGAAUUGACGGAAGGGCACCACCAGGAGUGGAGCCUGCGGCUUAAUUUGACUCAACACGGGAAAACUUACCAGGUCCAGACACAGUUAGGAUUGACAGAUUGAGAGCUCUUUCUUGAUUCUGUGGGUGGUGGUGCAUGGCCGUUCUUAGUUGGUGGAGUGAUUUGUCUGGUUAAUUCCGAUAACGAACGAGACCUCAGUUUAUUAAUUAAAUAAAAAAACAUAAGCGAUAUAAGGGUUAGAUGAGAAUAUAUUGAUAUUUAUAUUAAUAUAUCUUUUUUAAAACUUGUUUAUAUUUAUUUUUAUUUUCUUAAAAAGACACUUGGUGUUUAACCAAGGGAAGUUUGAGGCCAUAACAGGUCUGUGAUGCCCUUUAGAUGUUCUGGGCCGCACGCGCGCUACACUGAUAAAAUCAAUAAGUUUUUUAACAAUAACCUUAAUAGAAAUAUUUGGGUAAACUUUGAAAAUUUUAUCGUGCUGGGGAUUGACAAUUGUAAUUAUUUGUCAUCAACGAGGAAUUCCUAGUAAACGUAAGUCAUCAGCUUACGUUGAUUACGUCCCUGCCCUUUGUACACACCGCCCGCCGCUCCUACCGAUGAAUGGUCCGGUGAAAUCUUAAGAUAAAAAAUUGUUACUUUAAGAUGUAAAUUUUAAAGUUAAUUUUUUAGAAUUUGAGCAAACCUUGCCAUUUAGAGGAAGGAGAAGUCGUAACAAGGUAUCCGUAGGUGAACCUGCGGAGGGAUC
rnacentral:rRNA from 1 species